rnacentral:rRNA from 1 species
GGCGGGCCUAACACAUGCAAGUCGAACGAGAAAGGGGCUUCGGCCCCGAGUAAAGUGGCGGACGGGUGAGUAACACGUGGGUAAUCUACCUCUCAGCGGGGGAUAACUAGCCGAAAGGCUAGCUAAUACCGCAUACGUCGGAGGGUCUUGUUCGAAAGAACUGGGGGCCUUCCGGGAAAGCCGGCCACUCCACGGAAGCUGGCACUGAGAGAGGAGCCCGCGGCGCAUCAGCUAGUUGGUGAGGUAAUGGCUCACCAAGGCCGAGACGCGUAGCUGGUCUGAGAGGAUGAUCAGCCACACUGGGACUGAGACACGGCCCAGACUCCUACGGGAGGCAGCAGUGGGGGAAUAUUGGGCAAUGGGCGCAAGCCUGACCCAGCCACGCCGCGUGAGUGAUGAAGGCCUUCGGGUCGUAAAGCUCUGUGGGGAGGGACGAAAGCCCUCUGGCGAAUACCCAGAGGUUUGACGGUACCUCCUUAGCAAGCACCGGCUAACUCCGUGCCAGCAGCCGCGGUAA